UUCUCUUAAUGGAAUAGGUGCAAAAAACUAAUCCUCUGUUUGUACGCCAGAACUCAUUGUUCAGUAUGAGUUUUGAUACAUAUAUGAAGUGGAUAUG
rnacentral:snoRNA from 1 species